rnacentral:rRNA from 1 species
UACGUAGGGUCCGAGCGUUGUCCGGAAUUAUUGGGCGUAAAGGGCUCGUAGGCGGUUUGUCACGUCGGGAGUGAAAACUCAGGGCUCAACCCUGAGCGUGCUUCCGAUACGGGCAGACUAGAGGUAUGCAGGGGAGAACGGAAUUCCUGGUGUAGCGGUGGAAUGCGCAGAUAUCAGGAGGAACACCAGUGGCGAAGGCGGGUCUCUGGGCCGAUAUCGUGCGCUGAGGAGCGAAAGCGUGGGGAGCGAACAGG